GAUGAACGCUGGCGGCGUGCUUAACACAUGCAAGUCGAGCGAAGCGUUUUAAAGGAAGUUUUCGGAUGGAAUUUAAAAUGACUUAGCGGCGGACGGGUGAGUAACGCGUGGGUAACCUGCCUCAUACAGGGGGAUAACAGUUAGAAAUGACUGCUAAUACCGCAUAAGCGCACAGUGCUGCAUAGCACAGUGUGAAAAACUCCGGUGGUAUGAGAUGGACCCGCGUCUGAUUAGGUAGUUGGUGAGGUAACGGCCACCAAGCCGACGAUCAGUAGCCGACCUGAGAGGGUGACCGGCCACAUUGGGACUGAGACACGGCCCAAACUCCUACGGGAGGCAGCAGUGGGGAAUAUUGGACAAUGGGGGAAACCCUGAUCCAGCGACGCCGCGUGAGUGAAGAAGUAUUUCGGUAUGUAAAGCUUUAUCAGCAGGGAAGAAAAUGACGGUACCUGACUAAGAAGCCCCGGCUAACUACGUGCCAGCAGCCGCCGUAA
rnacentral:rRNA from 1 species